rnacentral:piRNA from 1 species
UGCUUCUAGAAUGCCUUCAUUGGUCCCUGA